rnacentral:rRNA from 1 species
GAUGAACGCUGGCGGCGUGCUUAACACAUGCAAGUCGAACGAAGCACUUUAUUUGAUUUCCUUCGGGACUGAUUAUUUUGUGACUGAGUGGCGGACGGUUGAGUAACGCGUGGGUAACCUGCCUUGUACAGGGGGAUAACAGUCGGAAACGGCUGCUAAUCCCGCAUAAGCGCACAGCAUCGCAUGAUGCAGUGUGAAAAACUCCGGUGGUAUAAGAUGGACCCGCGUUGGAUUAGCUAGUUGGUGAGGUAACGGCCCACCAAGGGGACGAUCCAUAGCCGACCUGAGAGGGUGACCGGCCACAUUGGGACUGAGACACGGCCCAAAAUCCUACGGGAGGCAGCAGUGGGGAAUAUUGCACAAUGGGCGAAAGCCUGAUGCAGCGACGCCGCGUGAGCGAAGAAGUAUUUCGGUAUGUAAAGCUCUAUCAGCAGGGAAGAUAAUGACGGUACCUGACGAAGAAGCACCGGCUAAAUACGUG